rnacentral:lncRNA from 1 species
GGAUUUUCUUCACAUGCAGGCCCCCAGGCCCCGCUAUGCCCUCAAUCAGAGCAGCUGAGUUCUUAGUAACUCCUUAAAAUUUUUGUGUUUUUUUUUUCCUGAUGAUUUCAUAAGCCCAUUUGUAUCCCCUGUCUUUGUGUCUGAUGACUCUGACUUGUGAAUACUGCCUACCCCUUGGAGAACUUUCUGGUAUCUUAUGGAGCCUCACUGAAUUCUAACGCUAGAAUAAUUGGACUUUAAAAAACCUAUCCCAAACAUACUCUAGUACUAAAACUGUCUGUGAAAACCACCUACGGGAGGAAAAUGGAUGUCAGCUGAGGAAGAUGUUGAAGUUACCUAGUGCUAAGCUCUGCGGGGUACCAGGCAUCAAGUCACAGAGGUGGCCAGACGUGUGAUGUCAGAAAGCACAAUAGGGACCAGGAGCCUGUGGUCAGCACCGUAAGCGCAGUGGGAGAGAAGCCAGUCGGAAGACGGUGAAGACUACGUGGUGUCGGAUCGCCCCAGACACAUCCCCUGCGCUGUAGUGCGACUCUCUGUAUGAUGCUGCUUGCUGCCCGUUCAGCCUGGACCUGAUCCAAGAGGUGGUUUAGCCGAACCACCAGGACUUCACAUGUUGCCUGUAAGGCAGUUCCCCAGUGUGGCUCCUGUCGCUGGCGUU